UCUCCUACCUCCCACCCUCUCCAACCUUCCUCUCCUCUCCCCUCAUAGUCCAUCAGCCACCCUCUCCUCUCCCCUCAUAAAGAGACCAUCAGCCACCCUCUCCUCUCCUCUCCCCUCAUAAAGAGACCAUCAGCCACCCUCUCCUCUCCCCUCAUAAAGAGACCAUCAGCCACCCUCUCCUCUCCCAUCAUAAAGAGACCAUCAGACACCCUCUCCUACCUCCCUCCCUCCCCUCCUCUCUUCUGCCAUGCAAACAUAGACCAUCGGACACACACUCCUCCCUCCCCUCCUCCCUCUCCUACCUCCCUUUCUCCUACCUUUCUCCUAGACCAUCAGCCACCCUCUCCUCUCCCCUCAUAAAGAGACCCUCAGCCACUCUCUCCUCUCCCCUCCCCUCCCCUCAUAAAGAGACCCUCAGCCACCCUCUCCUCUCCCCUCAUAAAGAGACCAUCAGCCACCCUCUCCUCUCCUCUCCCCUCAUAAAGAGACCAUCAGCCACCCUCUCCUCUCCUCUCCCCUCAUAAAGAGACCAUCAGCCACUCUCUCCUCUCCCCUCCCCUCCCCUCAUAAAGAGACCCUCAGCCACCCUCUCCUCUCCCCUCAUAAAGAGACCAUCAGCCACCCUCUCCUCUCCCCUCCCCUCAUAAAGAGACCAUCAGCCACCCUCUCCUCUCCUCUCCCCUCAUAAAGAGACCCUCAGCCACCCUCUCCUCUCCUCUCCCCUCAUAAAGAGACCCUCAGCCACCCUCUCCCCUCCCCUCAUAAAGAGACCAUCAGCCACCCUCUCCUCUCCUCUCCCCUCAUAAAGAGACCCUCAGCCACUCUCUCCUCUCCCCUCCCCUCCCCUCAUAAAGAGACCCUCAGCCACCCUCUCCCCUCCCCUCAUAAAGAGACCAUCAGCCACCCUCUCCUCUCCUCUCCCCUCAUAAAGAGACCAUCAGCCACCCUCUCCUCUCCCCUCAUAAAGAGACCCUCAGCCACCCUCUCCUCUCCCCUCAUAAAGAGACCCUCAGCCACCCUCUCCCCUCCCCUCAUAAAGAGACCAUCAGCCACCCUCUCCUCUCCCCUCAUAAAGAGACCCUCAGCCACCCUCUCCUCUCCCCUCAUAAAGAGACCCUCUCCCCUCCCCUCAUAAAGAGACCAUCAGCCACCCUCUCCUCUCCUCUCCCCUCAUAAAGAGACCCUCAGCCACCCUCUCCUCUCCCCUCCCCUCAUAAAGAGACCCUCAGCCACCCUCUCCUCUCCCCUCAUAAAGAGACCAUCAGCCACCCUCUCCUCUCCCCUCAUAAAGAGACCAUCAGCCACCCUCUCCUCUCCCCUCAUAAAGAGACCAUCAGCCACACUCUCCUCUCCCCUCCCCUCCCCUCAUAAAGAGACCCUCAGCCACCCUCUCCUCUCCCCUCCCCUCAUAAAGAGACCAUCAGCCACCCUCUCCUCUCCCCUCAUAAAGAGACCCUCAGCCACCCUCUCCUCUCCCCUCAUAAAGAGACCCUCAGCCACCCUCUCCUCUCCCCUCCCCUCAUAAAGAGACCAUCAGCCACCCUCUCCUCUCCCCUCAUAAAGAGACCCUCAGCCACCCUCUCCUCUCCCCUCCCCUCAUAAAGAGACCCUCAGCCACCCUCUCCUCUCCUCUCCCCUCAUAAAGAGACCAUCAGCCACCCUCUCCUCUCCCCUCAUAAAGAGACCAUCAGCCACCCUCCCCUCUCCCCUCAUAAAGAGACCAUCAGCCACCCUCUCCUCUCCCCUCCCCUCCCCUCAUAAAGAGACCCUCAGCCACCCUCACCUCUCCCCUCCCCUCAUAGAGACCCUCAGCCACCCUCUCCUCUCCUCUCCCCUCAUAAAGAGACCCUCAGCCACCCUCUCCCCUCCCCUCAUAAAGAGACCAUCAGCCACCCUCACCUCUCCCCUCCCCUCAUAGAGACCCUCAGCCACCCUCUCCUCUCCCCUCAUAAAGAGACCAUCAGCCACCCUCUCCUCUCCUCUCCCCUCAUAGAGACCCUCAGCCACCCUCUCUGUGCCGCUCUCCCAUCUUUUCUUCCCCACAUAGAGACGAUCACUACCCUCCUCCCCUCACUACCUCUUGAGAUCACCACCGCCGUGUUCAAACAAUCGCUUUAGUCUCCAUCUAUCUCUGUCUGUCAUCAGACAUUGUGUGUUGAUCUUGCUAACCUCGCUUCACAUCACCCCGCUUGGAAAACGACCCAUCUGGAUUUUUACAAAAGACAUGAAUCAGAAGAUAUUGUUUCCUUGACAAUGCUUUUCUCCCCAGCCGGCCACCAGCCUCCAUCUUCCUUCCUCCCUGUGUGUAUCUUCUCUCUCCUGAUCACGGUAUCCUUGUGAAUGACAAAUACUAAUCAGACUCCCACUUACUCCCACUGGUGUGGCUCACCCUCUCUCUUAUACAGCCACGGCUACACACUGUGUUCUUCUUUCUCACUGCAGUAAUAUUGUGCCUGUGGCUCUCUGUCUGCUUUCUCCUGUACGUCAUUCUGCUAACCCAGAUGCUACCCCGGGCAACAAGCUAACAACCCCGGGCAACAAGCUAACUUAGCGGUGGUGGUUUAGAAAGAGGUUGCGAGUGAUGACACCCCAUUGAUCCAGAUGUUCCCCACCAUAGUACAACAACUCCCCCACACCAACUACCAAACCUAUCACCCCACUGGCCGUUAUGACCCGCGUGGAAAUUACAACAACGAUGAUGAAGACGAUGAGGAAGAUGAGGAGGAAGAGGACCCAUUCGCUGGGUAUAGAGGCUAUCCACCUCAGUACUACCAGCCCAAUUACCCUCACCCCCCUGCACGCCCUGCACCCCAAUCCCACUCCCAGGACACUGAGCUAAGGUCCCCAGGGAUAAUGAUGAGCCGUUUCUCCAGAGACGUGGUCACACAGAGAAGAGCCACCGCUAACACAGCCCAGACAGCACAGACAGGACAGAGGAGCGAAGCAGAUACUGAAGGAGAGGUGGAGGCGAUUGGAGAAGUCCAGACAGUCCAACCACCUCUCUAUGUCCCUGUGGGUUAAUGAAGAUGUCAAAAAUAUGUUCGGUAUGCGUCAGUUGCCCCCAUGUCGCUAGCCAGGGUCUCCUGUAUGCUAUUCCUGUAUAAGAGCGCUGUCAGAUUAGGAUAUACCCGAAAAGUGCCUGAUUUGUGUAAAUGCUGGUGUGUGGGAUGUAGGGGGACUGAGGAAGACCAGCUAUCCCCAGUGAUGUAGAUUCAAAUCACGUACCUUUCUAGAGAAGUUGCAUGCAGCCUUUCAGCCAGCGCAUCGAGGAUGACUGGACUGUGUCUUUGGGUUGAUGUGUCAUAGAGGCAAACAUCUUUUUGUAAUUUGAGAUUUAUGAACGAAUGACAUUUGAAGAGUCUGUCAGCUCUUUAUAACCAUGUGUCAUUUACAUUAUAGUGCUUCCAUGUUGACUUCACCCUCAAUCUUUUUAAGUUGUCAAGCCAGUUCUCACAAUGAUUUUUCAGUAUUUGUGUACAGUGUCCUCUCUUCUUGAUUUAAUAUGAUAUACAUUGUGACCUCUGUUGAAGCAGCCCCCCCCCCCCCCACACUGUUAUUGUACGAUGAGGAAUUUGUUUUUUUUAAGUAUGCCUAAACAUUAAGGAACCAAACUUUAACCACUGUCCUAUCAAAGAAAAGUACAGCUAUUGUAAGACUCUCAAGCUGUCUUGUCCAAUCGUACCGUUAUCACAUUGUUGAUUGACAUGGACUUGGUCUUGUCCAAUCGUACCGUUAUCACAUUGUUGAUUGACAUGGACUUGGUCUUGUCCAAUCGUACCGUUAUCACAUUGUUGAUUGACAUGGACUUGGUCUUGUCCAAUCGUACCGUUAUCACAUUGUUGAUUGACAUGGACUUGGUCUUGUCCAAUCGUACCGUUAUCACAUUGUUGAUUGACAUGGACUUGGUCUUGUCCAAUCGUACCGUUAUCACAUUGUUCAUUGACAUGGACUUGGUCUUGUCCAAUCGUACCGUUAUCACAUUGUUCAUUGACAUGGACUUGGUCUUGUCCAAUCGUACCGUUAUCACAUUGUUGAUUGACAUGGACUUGGUCUUGUCCAAUCGUACCGUUAUCACAUUGUUGAUUGACAUGGACUUGGUCUUGUCCAAUCGUACCGUUAUCACAUUGUUGAUUGACAUGGACUUGGUCUUGUCCAAUCGUACCGUUAUCACAUUGUUGAUUGACAUGGACUUGGUCUUGUCCAAUCGUACCGUUAUCACAUUGUUGAUUGACAUGGACUUGGUCUUGUCCAAUCAUACCGUUAUCACAUUGUUCAUUGACAUGGACUUGGUCUUGUCCAAUCGUACCGUUAUCACAUUGUUCAUUGACAUGGACUUGGUCUUGUCCGACCGGGUGUUAGUUUCACUUACUCUCGUCACAGGCAAUGACAGAGAAGGUGCUGGAAUGACUUGUGAUGAGCUCCACAAAUCUGAAGUUUAAUGUUUUCCUUAUUGCCUUUCCAAUUUGUUGUUGUUGUUGUUAUUAUGAUGAUUAUUAUGCAACGUGGUGCCCGUCCACUGUGAGGAGAGUGUUGAAGAUAGUUAGGCCUGUGGUCUAAUUUGUGUUUUUGGACAGAAAUGGAAUUCCGAAUGUAGAACUAACAGGUACCAGUGAAAUGUCUCAUCAGACCACACCACCAAACCUUUGAAACUGAUUUAGGAAGUUAUUUAUUUAUACUUUAUUAUUUGUUUUAUAACCAAUAAAACUGUAAUUCAACAGUG